CUUUUUGGUUUGAGAAUUAAAUGUAAAUUCAGUUUAAAACUUCUACACUUACGGUGUCCGAAUCAUGAUUAAAUUCCCAAUUCCUCACAAGAUCCGCAAGAGGGUAUUCUCUCUUUGUAUACAUAGUUUUUUAAUGGGUAAUGGGAUGGUACACGUAGACGCUCAUUAAAAACAAAUGUGUCGGGGCUUAAAAAAUCUAAAAAGAAGAAAGAAAACGGGUCAUUUAAAGAGAAAACGGGAAACGUAAAAGAAAGCACGGCGCUUAUGCACCAAGCACCCAGUUAAUUCCUCACGCUCCACACCCUUUUCUAAGCAUGUGUAUUUUUUCUCUUUUUGUCUCUUCUAGCUCUUUUGCAACACAACCCAGUGCAAAAUAUUCACAGACUAGAACGGAACCCCUGCUCGUGGGUACCAACUUUGCCUGGAAGAAAUGAAACGGAAUGGGAAUCGUACUGGGACUCAUGAGGUGUGACUAAAUCAAAAAUAUCAGUGGAAGCGUGUAAGAAAAGCACCAACUUUUGCUCUGUUCUAGACUCUGAUUUCACCGAGUCUGCCUAUUCCCACAUCUACGGACGGCUGCCACUUCCCAACCGGGGCUACCUCCCCCCACCCCCGCCCCAUCCCGUGCCAUGGUACGUGGGGGAGUGGGACUAGAGGUCAAGUAAGGUCAUGCAAGAAGGAUUAAUCAUGGAAAAAAAAGAGAAGAAUACACAAGAAGAGUCAUUUUUCAAGAGGAUGUUCGCCGAUCCAUUUCGUCUCGAGCGGUGCUUCGAGACAGGAUUCCCGAAGCCUUUUGUUUUGGAGUCGGAACCUCUGUGACCUUACUCUCGCUCCGGGGUUUUUAUUCGGCCUUCUUUUUGAAAUGUUCUGAUCACUCGAAAAAAGAAGCGGAAGUAAAACAAAAAUUAAGAGAAGAGCAAACAUAUAAAUAUACAUAUAUUAUUAUUCUCGCUAUUAACUUCUCGUCUGUCUAAUUUUCCCGCCGAAAAUUAAACUGACUUGAACCAGAAAGAACUUGCAUAUGUGUGC